rnacentral:rRNA from 1 species
CGGAAUCACUGGGCGUAAAGCGCACGUAGGCGGACUUUUAAGUCAGGGGUGAAAUCCCGGGGCUCAACCUCGGAACUGCCUUUGAUACUGGAAGUCUGGAGUCCGAGAGAGGUGAGUGGAACUCCGAGUGUAGAGGUGAAAUUCGUAGAUAUUCGGAAGAACACCAGUGGCGAAGGCGGCUCACUGGCUCGGUACUGACGCUGAGGUGCGAAAGCGUGGGGAGCAAACAGGAUUAGAUACCCCUGUAGUCGUCAGUA